AUUGAACGCUGGCGGCAGGCCUAACACAUGCAAGUCGAACGAGUGGCGGACGGGUGAGUAAUGUCAGGGAAACUGCCCGAUGGAGGGGGAUACCUACUGGGAACGGUAGCUAAUAACGACUACCAUCGUAUGUGCCCAGAUGGGAUUAGCUGGUAGGAGGGGUAACGGCUCACCUAGGCGACGAUCCCUAGCUGGGUUGAGAGGAUGACCGGCCACACUGGAACUGAGACACGGGCCAGACUCCUACGGGAGGCAGCAGUGGGGAAUAUUGCAACAGGGGCGCAAGCCUGAUGCAGCGAUGCCGCGUGUAUGAAGAAGGCAUUCGGGUUGUAAAGUACUUUCAGCGAGGAGGCGUUACUCGCAGAAGAAGCACCGGCUAACUCCGUGCCAGCAGCCGCGGUAAUAC
rnacentral:rRNA from 1 species